rnacentral:lncRNA from 1 species
AGGAGUGAACCCAAGUAUUUUUCAUUUGAUAAUAGUGGUGAUUUUUCGUUUGUUCUAUAUAGAAAACAAAAAUAGUUUAAGUUGCAAUUGAUGAAAUGACGUGUUAGAUAUUAUUGAGUUCUACUUAAAAAAAAAAAUUAAAGGGUUUCUAGUGUACUGUAUUUGAUAAGAUUUAUCAUUAAGGACAUCUUCCCAACUAUAUAUCUUUCUAUUAAUUUUGAUUUUGA